rnacentral:tRNA from 1 species
GAAUAUGAAGCAAUAAUUGCAAUUAGUUUCGACCUAAUAUUAGGUUAAUAACCCUUAUUCU